AUGCUGACAUAAGUAACGAUAAAGCGGGUGAAAAGCCCGCUCGCCGGAAGACCAAGGGUUCCUGUCCAACGUUAAUCGGGGCAGGGUGAGUCGACCCCUAAGGCGAGGCCGAAAGGCGUAGUCGAUGGGAAACAGGUUAAUAUUCCUGUACUUGGUGUUACUGCGAAGGGGGGACGGAGAAGGCUAUGUUAGCCGGGCGACGGUUGUCCCG
rnacentral:rRNA from 1 species